AACAACCGGCCGUCNUUAAUCCAGCCUAAUACAUGCAGUCGAGCGACGAGAAGAGCUUGCUCCUUCGACGUAGCGGCGGACGGGUGAGUAACACGUGGGCACCUACCUUAUAUUGGGAUAACUCCGGGAAACCGGGGCUAAUACCGAAUAAUCUAUUUUACUUCAUGGUGAAAUACUGAAAGACGGUUUCGGCUGUCGCUAUAAGAUGGGCCCGCGGCGCAUUAGCUAGUUGGUGAGGUAACGGCUCACCAAGCGACGAUGCGUAGCCGACCUGAGAGUGGUGAUCUGGCCACACUGGGACUGAGACACGGCCCAGACUCCUACGGGAGGCAGCAUGUAGGGAAUCUUCCACAAUGGGCGAAAGCCUGAUGGAGCAACGCCGCGUGAGUGAAGAAGGUUUUCGGAUCGUAAAAACUUCUGUUGUAACGGGAAGAACAAUGUACAGUAGUAACUGGCUGUACCUUGACGGUACCUAUUAGAAAAGCCACGGAUAACAACNUAGCCCAGCAGCCGCGUGUAAAUACGUAAGGUGGCNAGCGUUGUCCCGGAAUUCUUGGGCGUAAAAGUGGCGCGACAGC
rnacentral:rRNA from 1 species